AAACCGUUUAGGGGUAAACCUGAGAAACCCGAAAGGUCGAAGGGAGAAAUUCAUUCGCGUUUCGCGGUCGGCGUGAGACGGUCGUGUGACGGAAAACGUUCGCGUUUUCCGCACCUUUCGUUUUUCGAUCCGAUAGCGAACGCGUGCACUUUUCUCCUGGUAGGACGUCGCGAUCCGUUGGGUGUCGGUCUACGGCUCGCGGUGGAGACCGGAUGUACGGCUUGCCGUCACGUCCGGACCCGCGUGUCCCGGCUGACUCGCUCGACGGUAUACGAAAGGUUUAAGGCCGCUCUUAGAGCGUUCGGCUCGUCGCAAGCGCGUCAGAUGUGUCGGUGAUCGGACCUAGUGCCGGUUCUGACCUCUGGCGACUGUUGGCGGCGAAGUUCUCGAACAGACCUUCGACCGAUCUGCGACGCUAUAGCUUUGGGUACUUUCAGGACCCGUCUUGAAACACGGACCAAGGAGUCUAGCAUGUGCGCGAGUCAUUGGGAAUCAUUAAACCUAAAGGCGCAAUGAAAGUAAAGGUCCGCCUUGCGCGGACUGAGGGAAGACGAGCGGUUUACCCUUAAAAGUGGCCGCUCCGCAUUCCCGGGGCGUCUCAUUCUCAUCGCGAGAAGAGGCGCACCAAGAGCGUACACGCUGGGACCCGAAAGAUGGUGAACUAUGCCUGGUCAGGACGAAGUCAGGGGAAACCCUGAUGGAGGUCCGUAGCGAUUCUGACGUGCAAAUCGAUCGUCGGAACUGG
rnacentral:rRNA from 4 species